rnacentral:lncRNA from 1 species
AUAUCGCCUUCUCUAACAAAGAGCUUCGAUUCUUUUGUUCUAUUUCAACUGGGUUUCCGCCUGAUUGCUUGUCAUACAAGUGAAGUUCCCCAUUAUUUCACUAAUAUAUCUAACAUUUAAUACACGCAGGCUUGACAAUGUAGAUAAUCUAGUAAAUUGAAACAUUCCUCCAAUGAUGGAGAGAGUCUAUUGUUGAAAAAAGAGGGACGAGAGAUACCAAAGGGACAGUAAAACUCAUAAAUCUUCUCAAAAGUCGGUAAUUUAAACCUUACAAAUUUCUAUAAUUUGAAUGUUUGCAUGGUUUUGCAUAACUUUACAUGUAUUUACAAUGUAUGUUUCAGUUGACUUCACGCUGUUUAUUUUAACCUGCUAGCUACUUUCAAUUUGAUAAUAAGUUUUUCUUACCUUAGUUUUGUUUUAAAAUGUAAAAACUGUAUGCCUUGUUCCACUUA